AUUGAACGCUGGCGGCAGGCCUAACACAUGCAAGUCGAACGAGUGGCGGACGGGUGAGUAAUGUAUGGGAAACUGCCUGAUGGAGGGGGAUAACUACUGGAAACGGUAGCUAAUACCGCAUACCAUCAGAUGUACCCAGAUGGGAUUAGCUUGUUGGUGGGGUAACGGCUCACCAAGGCGACGAUCCCUAGCUGGUCUGAGAGGAUGACCAGCCACACUGGGACUGAGACACGGUCCAGACUCCUACGGGAGGCAGCAGUGGGGAAUAUUGCACAAUGGGCGCAAGCCUGAUGCAGCCAUGCCGCGUGUAUGAAGAAGGUCUUCGGAUUGUAAAGCACUUUAAGUUGGGAGGCGUUACCAACAGAAUAAGCACCGGCUAACUCCGUGCCAGCAGCCGCGGUAAUAC
rnacentral:rRNA from 1 species